CAGUGUGGACAGUGGCUCUGGGAAACUCUUAUUGGUCAGACGAGGGACCACUUCCACAAGAAAGUGUGCUUAUGCAGGUGCAGAACAGCCACUUUGGGUACCUUUGAGGCCUGGAAAGGUCCUUGGAGCCAAUGAAGAGCCUGUCUCCAGGUAUAAAGAGGCUGAGACAGAUUCCCAAAAACAGUGACUCUGAGCACCUGAGGGCAAGAUGGAGCCCAAAGUGGGAGAGUGGGAGCACAAACAUGGAGUAGCCAAAAGGCACACAACAAAAGAAGGCAGCUUUACUGCUGUCUGUCUGGUACUGAAUACUGCAGCAAACGGCCACUGGACCAGGAGUGAAGAUUCAUCCUGAACAUCUGAGAAAUAAGAAAGUGUAGAGAACAGAGAAAGCCCUGAGGGAGAUUAAAUAGUGGAUGUGUGUGACCUGACCUGAGCUGGCCAUGGGAAAGACCCCAGAGCCUCAGGCCCAUGGAGGAAUGGCAAAGCCUCCCCUGGGGUGAGGUUCUGAGACUUGGCAACGCCUUCCUCUGGGGAUUGAGUGUGAGUGUUGGCAGUGUAUGCAGAAGUUGUCCACCAUAGCUUCUCCCCUCUGGAGACUGCUCCUCUAUAAAGACUGCUCCUACUCAGAUUGACUAAGCCUAUCCCUUUGAUCUACCUGUGUAACCUAAUAUUUUCUACUUGUCAGUAAAUUCAUUCUACUCCUUUUUAAUUGGAAAACUUGUUAGUAUUUUUUUCUUAUCACAAAUACAUGAAUGAAUCUGAAACACAUUCUAUUAUGAUUUUGUUGACCUAAGCAUCCAUAGGGCAUGUCUGUAAAAAACAAAAUAUUGUCAGGCUUACCUGGGGCAAGCAAUUCAGGAGGAAAUGGUAAGUGCUGUACUGAGUACAAAAACCUUCUUUUUAUGUGGCAAAAAUGUUCUGAAAUUGUGAUUUCAGAAUUUGGUUGGCUCUGGACAUAGUAAAAAUGUUUAAAUUUUA